rnacentral:rRNA from 1 species
GACGAACGCUGGCGGCGUGCUUAACACAUGCAAGUCGAACGGAAAGGCCCUGCUUUUGUGGGGUGCUCGAGUGGCGAACGGGUGAGUAACACGUGAGUAACCUGCCCUUGACUUUGGGGUAACUUCAGGAAACUGGGGCUAAUACCGGAUAGGAGCUCCUGCUGCAUGGUGGGGGUUGGAAAGUUUCGGCGGUUGGGGAUGGACUCGCGGCUUAUCAGCUUGUUGGUGGGGUAGUGGCUUACCAAGCCUUUGACGGGUAGCCGGCCUGAGAGGGUGACCGGCCACAUUGGGCCUGAGAUACGGCCCAGACUCCUACGGGAGGCAGCAGGGGGGAAUAUUGCACAAUGGGCGGAAGCCUGAUGCAGCAACGCCGCGUGCGGGAUGACGGCCUUCGGGUUGUAAACCGCUUUCGCCUGUGACGAAGCGUGAGUGACGGUAAUGGGUAAAGAAGCACCGGCUAACUACGUG